CCCCGCCCCCCGCAGCCUGUCCCUGCCCCCCAGGCACCAGCUCACCGCCCUCAGCACCUCCCGACCCCGGCAGUCCCUCGCUCCGCCCCAGGACCCUUCUCCCGCCGGCCUUUACCUGUCACCAGGCCGCCUGCCCCCCAGGGAGCGAGGGCCACGGAGAGGAGGAGGAAUUGAGGCUCAGGAUUCAAGGCCUAGAAGCCGCCCUGGCCUCCACUCUUCCUCCUUCCUUCUCUCCUGCCGGGCAGCGCAGGCUCCUACCUGGGCCCCGCCCGCCGCCCCUGCGCACAGGUGUGUCCUCCAGCCAUAGGCUGCACCCCCCGCUGCCUUAACCCCUUCCCUCCCAGCGCCAGCCGCAGGCGCCUCCUCUGAGGCCUGGUCACCCCAGCAGGCCCCGACCCUCGGCCGUGGUCUCUCCUCUCGACAGGAAUUGUCGGGUUCACCAUCAUGCCCCAGCACUGCUCCAGUGCCUGGGACACAGGGACGCUCAAUAAACAAAGUGUACGCUGAGUGAAUGACCACCCAGCCUCAGCCGGCCCAGCAGCAGGAAGCCGGGCCUUCCCAAGUCAGACUCUCUCGGGCUCAACUCCCUAGGAGACUAGCGUUAUCAAGCAACAUGAAGCCUUAACGCAAAGAAGGAGUCAUCGCUGUUGUCCACUCUGGACCCAGGGGAAGGAAGAGCGAACAAAAAUAAAACUGAAACUCUGACCAACAGCCUAAGGGCUCUUAGUAGCCCCAGAAAGGGAGGAGCGUGGCGCCCCUUUGCACACCAGGUGCCCGGGGGAGGGAGGUUGGCCCUGGGCCUGUGUUAACUGGCCGUUUGUUAUCGAUCUUCUUAGCUCCCGGAUGUAGAAGUCAGGCUGGAGAAUGUGGUUGUGUCCCCCUCGGGGUGACCCUGGCUGCGUCUCCAGGAAUGCAGGCUCUGGGGCCAGAAGGCCUGAGUUAAAAUAAAAGCUUAGGUUCGCUGCUCAGUA